CCUACGGGUGGCAGCAGUGAGGAAUAUUGGUCAAUGGACGAGAGUCUGAACCAGCCAAGUAGCGUGAAGGAUGACUGCCCUAUGGGUUGUAAACUUCUUUUAUAUGGGAAUAAAAUGUUCCACGUGUGGGAUUUUGUAUGUACCAUAUGAAUAAGGAUCGGCUAACUCCGUGCCAGCAGCCGCGGUAAUACGGAGGAUCCGAGCGUUAUCCGGAUUUAUUGGGUUUAAAGGGAGCGUAGGUGGAUUGUUAAGUCAGUUGUGAAAGUUUGCGGCUCAACAGUAAAAUUGCAGUUGAAACUGGCAGUCUUGAGGACAGUAGAGGUGGGCGGAAUUCGUGGUGUAGCGGUGAAAUGCUUAGAUAUCACGAAGAACUCCGAUUGCGAAGGCAGUUCACUGGACUGCAACUGACACUGAGGUUCGAAAGUGUGGGUAUCAAACAGGAUUAGAUACCCCAGUAGUC
rnacentral:rRNA from 1 species